CUUUUAAAGGAUAUCAGCCAUCCAUUGGUCUUAGGAACC
rnacentral:tRNA from 1 species